AUUCGAUGUUUUUUUUUAUCAACACACAUUCGGGUCGGACCCUGGAGCCCCAGACAGCAUCAAUCUUGUUAUUUGCAAAAUUAAUAUUUUAACAUUUUUUUUUAAUCUUCACACCGUUUAAUUUUUAUCUUUAGUUUUGAUACAAAUUUUUGGGACAUUCUGAAUCUGAGUUUGUUCUGUCGGAUUGUCACUCCCAAUUGUGUGUUUAUUUGUAGUAAUUUGUUUCUUAUAAAUAAGUAAGUGGACUAUAAAUUACAACACAUUUUUUGGGUGUAGUUUUUUAGCCUUGAGUUGGAGUGUCGGCUCUGGAGUUCUCUGACGGAACUGAAAAACCAUUGCACUCUCACUUUCACAGAACUGACCCCAUCAUUCGUUCACAUAAAACCAAAAAUUAAGAGCCAAUUUGCCUUCCAUACAACCAUUUUCUGUCACAGAAAAAGACUUGUUAACCAUCGUUAGUUACAUUCUGUUUCUUCAUUUUAUAAUAUAAGCCAUCAUCACCCACAAUUGGCAUUCAUUAACGAACCUCCUUCAUUGUUACACCAUCUCGUUUUCCCAAUCCAUUCUCCAUCUCAGAAUGGAGAGUGCAAGAAUAAGCCAGUGGUUGAACCUUCUGGUGUGUGCAUUGUUGUUGUUGAUAGCUGAAGCUUCGUAUGUGCCAAUCACUUUUGUAAGGAACGCUGUAGCAAAAGGAGCUGUUUGUUUGGAUGGGAGUCCACCUGCUUACCAUUUUGAUAAGGGAUUUGGAACAGGGAUUAACAGUUGGUUAGUUGCAUUUGAGGGAGGAGGAUGGUGCAACAAUGUCACUACUUGCCUUUCUCGCAAGACCUAUCGUUUAGGUUCAUCUAAGCAAAUGGCCAGGCAAAUUGGCUUUUCAGGAAUUUUGAGUAACAGGAGACUGUUUAAUCCAGAUUUCUACAACUGGAACAGAAUCAAGGUUAGGUACUGUGAUGGUUCAUCAUUUACCGGUGAUGUGGAAGCAGUGAAUCCAGUAACGAAGUUGCACUUCAGAGGAGCAAGGAUUUUCGCUGCUGUCAUGGAGGAUUUACUAGCAAAAGGAAUGAAAAAUGCUCAAAAUGCUAUUAUCUCUGGAUGUUCAGCUGGAGGAUUAACUUCAGUACUACAUUGUGAUCGAUUCCGAGCUUUAUUACCUACAGGGGCUAGAGUGAAAUGCCUCUCAGAUGCUGGUUACUUUAUCAACGCAAAGGAUGUCUUGGGAGAACAACACAUCGAACAAUACUUCAGUCAAAUUGUUGCCCUACAUGGCUCUGCAAGGAAUUUGCCUCAAUCUUGCACUUCAAGACUUAGCCCAAGGCUGUGCUUUUUCCCACAAUAUUUGGUGUCUCAUAUCACUACGCCAAUCUUCUUUGUAAAUGCGGCAUACGACUCAUGGCAGAUUAAGAACAUUUUGGCACCGGGUGUUGCUGAUCCUCAAGGCCAUUGGCACAGCUGCAAGCUUGAUAUAAACAACUGCUCACCUGAUCAACUCGAUCUAAUGCAAGGCUUUAGGACAGAAUUCUUAAGGGCUUUGACUGUGCUAGGCAACUCUUCAUCUAAAGGAAUGUUCAUAGACUCUUGUUACACCCAUUGCCAAACUGAAAUGCAGGAGACAUGGUUGAGAAGUGACUCUCCAGUGCUGGCCAAGACAACAAUUGCAAAGGCCGUAGCAGACUGGUUUUAUGAAAGAAGACCUUUCCAUCAGAUAGAUUGCCCUUACCCUUGCAAUCCCACUUGUCACAACCGCGUUCUCGAUCCACCACAAGACCACCCAGAUAAAAAUGUGACCACGAAAGGAACAACGUCAGAUGCAUCAGCCAGAAAGCCCAAUUUUCCCAAACUAACAAACAAGGCACGAUGGAUUGAACUUGUGUGCACUAAACGUGGGAUCGGUGGGCUUCUACUAACGUUGGUUAUUCUGGACAUCCUAUAAAAGCUGGUUUGCUUUGGUCAUUGGUGAUUAAUUAUGGCACAGCUGGACCAUCUCUCUUAUUGUCUUCCAUAAUAAGAAGGAAUAAAAGCCAAUCCCAUUGAAUUGAAUUAUUUUUUUGACUUCAUACAGACUGCAACAAACUCCAUACAGAAAGCUUCAUAAUUGGAUCCAAUCAGUGUUGAAACCUGACCGAAGAGUACAUAAAUCUUCUACCUUUAGAGCACAAAGUGACAUAAGAUUAUAAAGACAUUCAAGUCGGACCCGAACAAAACGCUACACAAAUCCUCCAACCCUCGACACAAAAUGCGAGAAGAAGGCUGUGUGGACAGUCAAGUCGGAAGCUGAGUCGAAAGAUACAAUACGUGAUACAUUAAAUAUUUAAAAACAGAUCAGUCACUGUAUAAAAAUUCAAAUUUGUUUUUCAUUUAAUGUUUUUAUCUGUUGUAACUAUGUUUUGUAAGUGUGUGGUUUGAGAAAGAACAGGUUGGUGGUGGGAAAUUCACUUGUUCGAAAAAAGAAAAAAGAAAAGAAAAGGCGACAGAAGAUGGGAGUUGGACCAGCUCCUACCUGACUCCUGCCCAUGUCAAAUUGAAUGCGAUUGAAAGACCCGCGGCAGUCAGCCUACAACCAGACAUCAUUUUGAAUCCCCAAAAUCACACAAAUAUAAUAAAU